AAUAAUACAAUGACGUAAUACAUAAACAUUAAAAUUAUUUAAAAUUUAAAACUUAAUAAUGUAAUACUACGAUUAUUUACUACCUAUUUUGUAUUUUAUUAUAUAGUACCUUCGUUGUACAUACAACACUAUGACUCAACACGACAACACUCGGCUCUCGGGGUAUAUUCACCCCUUUGUGUAUGUAAUGUGCCACACAAACGACAUACCUACCCACUUUAUGGAAUCAGUAGAAAAUACCGACAUUUUGGGUACUUAUUUGCUGCUUCUAUUGACUGAAUGUGUACCAUACAUUAUUAUUUUCAACAGACAUCCAGACAUGGAUGAUCAACUAGAUAUUAUGUUGGAAAAUUCCAAUUCAGAAUUUAUUACCUUAUCGUAUGCUGAUCAUUCAUUGAUCCCUCAUCCUGAACAAUUAGCUGACGAGUGUGCGGAUAUAAUUUUAGACCAGGAUGAUUGUCAAGAUAUGAGUGCCAUGGUUCCAUUAAAUGAUUUGUUGUUGGGGCAAACAUUCUUAAUAGAGACUAAUGAACAACCAUUAUUUGUAAAUGGCCCCGAGAUAAUUACAUUCCAACAUAUCAAUUCUAACGGACAAAUAAAUGAUAUCCAGACUGUUUCAAAUAAUAUAGAAUCUGAUAAAUCUACGAUUGAAAAUAUUAAUUUUACUAUGAAUUCUGAUGAUCACUUUCAAGAAAUUUAUACAGACCUUAAUAAAACCGAUUUGGAUAUAAUGAAAACGGCUAAUGACAGUAAUAACUUGACAGAACAUUUACAAGUUAAGAUAAACACUGAUAUAACUAGUGGGAACUAUAGUUAUUCAACUGCUAUUAAAAUAUUAGAUGAUGUCGCUAAAAGUCCUGUUGAUACUAAUGGUCAUUUUGUUUGUGAUUUAUGUUUACAUGAAUUUUACAACUGGAAAAAUUAUAAAAAACAUAAACUUGAACAUUUGAAUGAUAAGCCAUUUAAAUGUUUGAAAUGUUUAAAAUCAUUUAAUUACAAUAAUAAUUAUUUACUUCACAUUGCUUCUCAUUCAACAAGUAAUUUAAAAUGUCCAAAAUGCAAAAAAGAAUUUAAACGCUUUGCUAGCUUCAGGGCUCACCUAAAAAUUCAUAAAACCGAAGAAUUGAUUACAUGCAAUAUUUGUGAUAAAAUAUUUGACAAUCAGUAUCGAUUGGACAUCCAUAAAGAAAAUUGUAUGCAAGAAAAUAUAAUUAAUCCUAGUGAAGAAGCAUCUGUUGCUUGUAUUAAAACUUGUACAAUUUGUAAUAUGUCUUUUUCAACUAUAUCAGAAUAUAAAAUGCACAUCAAAGAACACAGAAAAUUCGAUUCAAUAUUGAAAAAAUAUCAUAAGGUUGCUACAAAAUUAAAAAAAAUCCAUAAAACAAGCAAUACAAUUAAAAAAUUUAAAUGUGAUCAUUGUGAUUGGUCAUUUAAUAAGUCAAAUCUUUUACGCCGCCAUAUGAGAACACAUACUGGAGAAAAACCAUUUGAAUGCAAAGAUUGUUCAUUAUACUUUACUCAACAAAAUUCAUUAAAUAGACAUCUGAUGAAACAUAAAGGAAUACGACCAUUCAAAUGUGAAUUCUGUGAAAUGAGUUUUUGUCAAAAAGGUCAUUUGAUUAAUCAUAUGAAAAAAUGCCAUGCUGUUAAAAAAGAAGCUACAAGAAUUCAUAAAUGCUCUAUGUGCUCGUGUGUUUACAACAGUGUUAAUGCUCUUAGUAAACAUUUAAAUGUUUUCCAUGGAGUAAAAACUAAAAAUGUACAUGAAAAUGUUCAAAGUGAAGUACUAAAGAAUGGAGAAACAGUUGAUGAAACUAUACAUUUAAUUAAAGAUUCCUCAAAGUUAGAACAAUGGCUCGAAGAAGUAGCUUAUGAAUUGCAAAGUGGUGACAAUAAUACAGAGUUAAAGAAUUGCAACAAUCCAAUUACUACUCAAUGUGAAUUUGGAUUAAAUUUGAUGGAGAGUGAACACUAUGAUAACAUUUUAAGCCCAAUUUCUAAUAUAGCUAGUGAUCACACAGAAAUUGAAAAUUUGACAUAUUCUCUUGUAGAUGGUGAUACUCUUAUUGUUCUGAAGAAGAAACAAGACCAACCAUUAAUCGAAAAUGCCAUUGUUCAAAACCAAGAAAAGGAACUAUUAACUACUGUUACUGAAGAUGAAUCAGUAUCACUAAAUGUUGUAAGAGAAACCACUAAAAAGGGAAUAAAAUCUGUCACAAUUGCUACUAAUGAAUCAAUAUCAUUAAAUGUUGAAGAAGAAAUCACUAAAAAGAUGAUCCCUUCAAGAAAAAAAAAAUGUGUUAAUAAAAUGUCUAAAUUGGAUGCAAAAAAGAGUUUACUAAGAAAAAAAAAUGUAUGUUCAUUGAAAUCAAAAAAGAAGAAUACUAUUAGUAAUGAAGUUAAGAGAAACAUAAAUCAUCCAAGUGGUAAAGCUGAGCCAAAAGUUGUAUAUGUACCAAAUAUUGCUACUAAUUCAGAAGAAAGAACCAUUAGUACUACUCAAAAACCCUUGCCAAAAGUAUGUCAGUUCUGUGAAAAAAUAUUUAAAAAGAAUGCCGAUCUCGAAAGACAUGAAAGAACACACACUGGUAACAAACCAUAUAAAUGUGAUGAAUAGGAUUGUAAUAAAGCAUUUGCCACUAAGAGUUCACUUGAAUAUCAUAAAAUCACUCAUUCAGGUAAGAUGAAACGAGCCGAGUGCCCCCAGUGUAAUGGAUUAUUUGCCACAACAUCAACUUUGAAAGUUCAUAUGAGACAACACACAGGUGAAAAACCGUUUAAAUGUCCUGUAUGUGGAGAUGCAUUUCGAACAACUGGACACUUACAUACACAUGUGAUAAUCCACGAACGAAAAAAGAAACGUAAAUAAAAAAUUUGUAUCAUUUUUAUCAAAGUGAAGUUUUGUUUGUGAUACAUUUUAAAGUAAUUAUACUUAUAAGAAUAUAUCCAUAGCUGAGUAUCUUGAGUGUAGGCUCAGGGUAUGCUAGCCCUCCAAUAUGAGAUUUAAUUUGUAAUAGUUUUUUACUAAACAAUUUGUUUUUAAUAAACUGUCAGUAAAUUAGUCAGCCAUAUUUGACAUCCACAAAUUAGAAAUUAUCAGGAAAUAUUCAGCCUAUCCCCAGAUCUGGCAGUGGCGUAGUUAUAAUAUGGGGAUAUAUUCCCCCCCCCUAGCUUUUAUAUUCGGAGCAAUGAAUGCAUAUUUUUCAAUUAUGUGAUUAUUUUUGUUUCAGUUCACAGAUUUUUAAUACUUUAUACAAUUUUGACUUUGAGAAUGGUUUCUGGUAUCAAAAUUGAAAAUAUUUGAAAAUUAUCAGAACUUUUUUAAAUAAUCAGAAAAAAAAAUAAGUUAGAGAACAUUUUUAUUCAAAACCGAUUCUGUUUUUGGUGUAACUCAAAAACUAAUAACCGUGGAUACUUUAAACUUAGGAGGAGGAGAAAGCUCCUGUUGUUUAUCUGAAAAAAUAUUCUCCCUUUCCCCAUAUGAAAAUCAUAACUAUGCCACUGGGCUUGGGUAGAAAACUACACUAAAUAGAUUAAUCAAAAUAUUUGCUCAAUUGAUAAAAAAUAAAAAAUAAAAUUUGAUAGUUAUUGUUUAAUUGUCCUCAUGCAAGUAAAAUAAAUUUAUUUUGAAAAUUUGAUGUGAUAAGAAUCUGUAUAGGCAUAUUAUACCCGAUAUAUAUAAAUGUAUGUUCCAAAAAUUAAUUAGUGUUUGGAACUUUCACUAUAAAAUUGAAUUUGUUUAUUAUAUUUUUUUCAAAUAAACACGUUCACGUUCUUUGAAAAAUGAAUGCUUUCAUUUGGUCGUCCAUUUAAAUGUUUUUAUAUUAUUUUUAUGAAUCGUUGUAAUACCAAUAUAAAAUAGUGGAAAUCAUUAUAUUAUUGUUGUUAUAUGUCGAGGCGGACCCACUGGAAUUUCAUGUAUUUUAUUUUUAUAAUUCGUAAUCAAAUAAAUGUAAUAGAAAUAUUAUAACAGAAAAACAAUAUUAUUAAUCAAUAUAUGCUAAAUGGUAAAUAAAUUUGAAUGUCUUAAAAAUAUAAACAUGGUUCAUGCUCAUGUAUUGUGCACUAAAUAUGAUCGUGGAUGCAUGAAUGGCGUUCUUUCCAAACACUGAUAUCGCAUAUUAUAUUAAUGUAUAAAAUAUUGAUAAUUUUGUGAUUAUAUUGUAUUGUACAACUUUUUAUUAACGUAAUAGGUUCCUACUAGCCUAAUAUUUGUUUAAUAUCAUGAAUUGAGAUUUGUAUGCAUACAUUUAUGUAUAUCAGCCAUGGGCUUAGACCCCUAAAAUAAAGUAUUCGAUUGUUUCCCAAAAUAUUACCUUUUAAAAUUUAACUGUAAUUCUUAUUUUGGAAAUAUGGAAACGUACUAUUAUGAUUGUAAAAGUGUACCUACCUGAUAUAGUUGUAUAAUCUAAUAUACUUAUAUCUAACAAUUUGUAUCUACAUUAUAUAUUAAUUAAAUUAAUGUAAAAACUUUA